UUACUUGACACAAGCCCCACACCGUGCUAUAUUAGAUAAAUAAGAGUGAUUCGUUGAAGCGGAUUAAUACUGGACAGGACUCGGGUGCGACUCCCGACAGCUCCACCAUAAACACACUGAGUACGUUUAGGCGUCAGUAAGUCUUGUAGGAUCGCAACCUUGAGCAACAGUGUGUUUAUGAUGGGGCUGAAGUAGGAAUCGACUGACAGGGUAGAAAAGUGGAGAAUCCGGGCGCAAGCUCCGUUAACGCAAGAACUAAACUAAACGCAAACGAUAACUUUGCACCUUCAGAUUACGCACUAGCGGCAUAAACUGACGGGCUGCCGACUUGCCUUGGAACAGAAAAGUCGGACC
rnacentral:tmRNA from 1 species